rnacentral:rRNA from 1 species
UACGAGGGGGGCGAGCGUUGUUCGGAAUUAUUGGGCGUAAAGGGUGCGUAGGCGGUUCGGUAAGUCUCAUGUGAAAUCUACAGGCUCAACUUGUAGUCUGCAUGAGAAACUGCCGGGCUUGAGUAUGGGAGAGGUGAGUGGAAUUCCUGGUGUAGCGGUGAAAUGCGUAGAUAUCAGGAGGAACACCUGUGGCGAAAGCGGCUCACUGGACCAUAACUGACGCUGAUGCACGAAAGCUAGGGGAGCAAACGGG